UGCACUGUGUUCUCUCAGCACAUAAAGUGUGU
rnacentral:piRNA from 1 species